AUUGAACGCUAGCGGGAUGCUUUACACUUGCAAGUCGAACGAGUGGCGGACGGGUGAGUCAUAUAUCGGAACGUGACCAGUAGCGGGGGAUAACUACUCGAAAGAGUGGCUACUACCGCAUACUAUUGGAGCGGCCGAUAUCGGAUUAGCUAGUUGGUGGGGUAAAGUAUACUAACGGCAACGAUCCGUAGCUGGUUUGAGAGGACGACACGCCUCACAGGGUCGGAGACAUGGCCAGUAACCCUAAGUGAGACGGCAGUGGGUAAGUUGGGACAAUGGGCGAAACCCUGAUCCAGCCAUCCAGCGUAUAUGUGAAGGCCGUCGGGUUGUAAAGUACUUUUGGCGGAUAAGCGGGAGCUGCAGAAGAAGCACAGGCUAGCUAAGUGCCAGCAGCCGCGGUAAUAC
rnacentral:rRNA from 1 species